rnacentral:rRNA from 1 species
CCUACGGGAGGCAGCAGUGAGGAAUAUUGGUCAAUGGGCGGGAGCCUGAACCAGCCAAGCCGCGUGAGGGAAGAAGGUACUGCGUAUCGUAAACUUCUUUUGUCAGGGAGCAAAGGCGGAGACUAGUACCCGGAUGAGGGUACCUGAAGAAAAAGCAUCGGCUAACUCCGUGCCAGCAGCCGCGGUAAUACGGAGGAUGCGAGCGUUAUCCGGAUUUAUUGGGGUUAAAGGGUGCGUAGGCGGCCGGUUAAGUCAGCGGUGAAAUCCCGGGGCUCAACGUCGGAGUGGCCUGUGAAACGGGCCGGCUGGAGUGGGGGAGAGGUACGCGGAAUGCACGGUGUAGCGGUGAAAUGCUUAGAUAUCGUGCAGAACCCCGAUUGCGAAGGCAGCGUACCGGCUCAACACUGACGCUGAGGCACGAAAGCGUGGGUAGCGAACAGGAUUAGAUACCCCUGUAGUC